rnacentral:rRNA from 1 species
UUAAGCGACUAAGCGUACACGGUGGAUGCCCUGGCAGUCAGAGGCGAUGAAGGACGUGCUAAUCUGCGAUAAGCGUCGGUAAGGUGAUAUGAACCGUUAUAACCGGCGAUUUCCGAAUGGGGAAACCCAGUGUGUUUCGACACACUAUCAUUAACUGAAUCCAUAGGUUAAUGAGGCGAACCGGGGGAACUGAAACAUCUAAGUACCCCGAGGAAAAGAAAUCAACCGAGAUUCCCCCAGUAGCGGCGAGCGAACGGGGAGCAGCCCAGAGCCUGAAUCAGUGUGUGUGUUAGUGGAAGCGUCUGGAAAGGCGCGCGAUACAGGGUGACAGCCCCGUACACAAAAAUGCACAUGCUGUGAGCUCGAUGAGUAGGGCGGGACACGUGGUAUCCUGUCUGAAUAUGGGGGGACCAUCCUCCAAGGCUAAAUACUCCUGACUGACCGAUAGUGAACCAGUACCGUGAGGGAAAGGCGAAAAGAACCCCGGCGAGGGGAGUGAAAAAGAACCUGAAACCGUGUACGUACAAGCAGUGGGAGCCUCUUUUAUGGGGUGACUGCGUACCUUUUGUAUAAUGGGUCAGCGACUUAUAUUCUGUAGCAAGGUUAACCGAAUAGGGGAGCCGAAGGGAAACCGAGUCUUAACUGGGCGUUAAGUUGCAGGGUAUAGACCCGAAACCCGGUGAUCUAGCCAUGGGCAGGUUGAAGGUUGGGUAACACUAACUGGAGGACCGAACCGACUAAUGUUGAAAAAUUAGCGGAUGACUUGUGGCUGGGGGUGAAAGGCCAAUCAAACCGGGAGAUAGCUGGUUCUCCCCGAAAGCUAUUUAGGUAGCGCCUCGUGAAUUCAUCUCCGGGGGUAGAGCACUGUUUCGGCAAGGGGGUCAUCCCGACUUACCAACCCGAUGCAAACUGCGAAUACCGGAGAAUGUUAUCACGGGAGACACACGGCGGGUGCUAACGUCCGUCGUGAAGAGGGAAACAACCCAGACCGCCAGCUAAGGUCCCAAAGUCAUGGUUAAGUGGGAAACGAUGUGGGAAGGCCCAGACAGCCAGGAUGUUGGCUUAGAAGCAGCCAUCAUUUAAAGAAAGCGUAAUAGCUCACUGGUCGAGUCGGCCUGCGCGGAAGAUGUAACGGGGCUAAACCAUGCACCGAAGCUGCGGCAGCGACGCUUAUGCGUUGUUGGGUAGGGGAGCGUUCUGUAAGCCUGCGAAGGUGUGCUGUGAGGCAUGCUGGAGGUAUCAGAAGUGCGAAUGCUGACAUAAGUAACGAUAAAGCGGGUGAAAAGCCCGCUCGCCGGAAGACCAAGGGUUCCUGUCCAACGUUAAUCGGGGCAGGGUGAGUCGACCCCUAAGGCGAGGCCGAAAGGCGUAGUCGAUGGGAAACAGGUUAAUAUUCCUGUACUUGGUGUUACUGCGAAGGGGGGACGGAGAAGGCUAUGUUGGCCGGGCGACGGUUGUCCCGGUUUAAGCGUGUAGGCUGGUUUUCCAGGCAAAUCCGGAAAAUCAAGGCUGAGGCGUGAUGACGAGGCACUACGGUGCUGAAGCAACAAAUGCCCUGCUUCCAGGAAAAGCCUCUAAGCAUCAGGUAACAUCAAAUCGUACCCCAAACCGACACAGGUGGUCAGGUAGAGAAUACCAAGGCGCUUGAGAGAACUCGGGUGAAGGAACUAGGCAAAAUGGUGCCGUAACUUCGGGAGAAGGCACGCUGAUAUGUAGGUGAAGCGACUUGCUCGUGGAGCUGAAAUCAGUCGAAGAUACCAGCUGGCUGCAACUGUUUAUUAAAAACACAGCACUGUGCAAACACGAAAGUGGACGUAUACGGUGUGACGCCUGCCCGGUGCCGGAAGGUUAAUUGAUGGGGUUAGCGCAAGCGAAGCUCUUGAUCGAAGCCCCGGUAAACGGCGGCCGUAACUAUAACGGUCCUAAGGUAGCGAAAUUCCUUGUCGGGUAAGUUCCGACCUGCACGAAUGGCGUAAUGAUGGCCAGGCUGUCUCCACCCGAGACUCAGUGAAAUUGAACUCGCUGUGAAGAUGCAGUGUACCCGCGGCAAGACGGAAAGACCCCGUGAACCUUUACUAUAGCUUGACACUGAACAUUGAGCCUUGAUGUGUAGGAUAGGUGGGAGGCUUAGAAGUGUGGACGCCAGUCUGCAUGGAGCCGACCUUGAAAUACCACCCUUUAAUGUUUGAUGUUCUAACGUUGACCCGUAAUCCGGGUUGCGGACAGUGUCUGGUGGGUAGUUUGACUGGGGCGGUCUCCUCCUAAAGAGUAACGGAGGAGCACGAAGGUUGGCUAAUCCUGGUCGGACAUCAGGAGGUUAGUGCAAUGGCAUAAGCCAGCUUGACUGCGAGCGUGACGGCGCGAGCAGGUGCGAAAGCAGGUCAUAGUGAUCCGGUGGUUCUGAAUGGAAGGGCCAUCGCUCAACGGAUAAAAGGUACUCCGGGGAUAACAGGCUGAUACCGCCCAAGAGUUCAUAUCGACGGCGGUGUUUGGCACCUCGAUGUCGGCUCAUCACAUCCUGGGGCUGAAGUAGGUCCCAAGGGUAUGGCUGUUCGCCAUUUAAAGUGGUACGCGAGCUGGGUUUAGAACGUCGUGAGACAGUUCGGUCCCUAUCUGCCGUGGGCGCUGGAGAACUGAGGGGGGCUGCUCCUAGUACGAGAGGACCGGAGUGGACGCAUCACUGGUGUUCGGGUUGUCAUGCCAAUGGCACUGCCCGGUAGCUAAAUGCGGAAGAGAUAAGUGCUGAAAGCAUCUAAGCACGAAACUUGCCCCGAGAUGAGUUCUCCCUGACCCUUUAAGGGUCCUGAAGGAACGUUGAAGACGACGACGUUGAUAGGCCGGGUGUGUAAGCGCAGCGAUGCGUUGAGCUAACCGGUACUAAUGAACCGUGAGGCUUAACCUU